AACUUUCAGCAACGGAUCACUUGGCUCUCGCAUCGAUGAAGAACGCAGCGCAAUGCGAUACGUAAUGUGAAUUGCAGAAUUCAGUGAAUCAUCGAAUCUUUGAACGCAUAUUGCGCUUUUUGGUAUUCCGAAGAGCAUGCUUGUUUGAGUAUCAGUAAACACCUCAACCUCCUCUUGAUUUUUCAAAAGGAGGGAGGAAUUUAGCUAUCCCCACACCCCGUAACGGUAGGCUGGCGGCUUGAAAUGCAAGUCCAACCGAGCUUAUAUCAGUUCUAAAAGAAUAUAUUUUUAGUCAUCGUAAAACGAGUUUAUUACUAUUUAUGCAGCUGCCAUAAAGGAUAUCAGACCUUCUUGCAUACUGAUGAAGGAGUAAACGACAUUACAUAUCGUAUUCCACUCCAUUCCACAUCAAUGAGGAAGCCCAGCGAUCCAUUGCUAUAUGAACAACCAGAGGCU
rnacentral:misc_RNA from 1 species